ACUUCCGCGAAAACUCGCGAGGACUGGAUGUGCUCUAAUGAAUUAUUGAUAUUCAAUCAUUUCGGGAAUGCAGCGAUGACUGACAUUGAUGGCUGUUCAGUUGCGAUCAAUUGAGGAACUUUGUUGCUGCAGCCAUAUUCCACGGCGUAUGGAGAACACAAAGGAUUGAUUCUAAUCCAACAAAAAGCCCCUUUGAUCCGAACGUAAUACUACUGUUGCUGAGAGAGAAUAAUAAUUAUUCUUUGAAGAGAGGCAACAACAGACGAGGAAAAAACAGAGAAAACAAAUCAAAAGAACAACAGCGCUUGUUAUGAGCUGCACAUCCGCGCGGGAUGAAUUUUAAAUUAACUUGGACUGGAUCAAAAAAUUGCUUUGGUGGAAAUAUGUGAGUUUGGAUCACCUUUUGGCGUUGUGUUACAAAGACUGGCGAUGGGGCCGACAUCAAUGCAAAUCAUCGGGUGUCAUUUCCUGGCUGCUUUCGUUUGGGCGUUUUCUGCCAACAUCGGUCAAAAGUGGGUUAGAGUGAAUGUUCCUCAGUAUCGAAUGCCAGGCGAAACAGCCAUGCUGCAGUGUGAUUACGACUUAGGAAACGAUACCCUGUAUGCUGUCAAAUGGUACAAAGAGCAUGAAGAGUUCUACAGGUUCGUCCCCAAAUCACGACCGCAAGCCAACUGGUAUGAAGUG